rnacentral:rRNA from 1 species
AACGAACGCUGGCGGCAGGCCUAACACAUGCAAGUCGAACGCCCCGCAAGGGGAGUGGCAGACGGGUGAGUAACACGUGGGAACGUACCCUUCGGUUCGGGAUAACUCAGGGAAACUUGAGCUAAUACCGGAUACGUCCGAGAGGAGAAAGAUUUAUCGCCGAGGGAUCGGCCCGCGUCUGAUUAGCUCGUUGGUGAGGUAACGGCUCACCAAGGCGACGAUCAGUAGCUGGUCUGAGAGGAUGAUCAGCCACAUUGGGACUGAGACACGGCCCAAACUCCUACGGGAGGCAGCAGUGGGGAAUAUUGGACAAUGGGCGCAAGCCUGAUCCAGCCAUGCCGCGUGAGUGAUGAAGGCCCUAGGGUUGUAAAGCUCUUUUACCCGGGAAGAUAAUGACUGUACCGGGAGAAUAAGCCCCGGCUAACUUCGUGCCAGCAGCCGCUGUAAU